UAUUAAUCAUAUUAUACUGAUAAUUAUUAUAUUUUAUUACAAUAGUAUGUUUUUUAUAUUUUUUUAAUGUUAUAAUAUGUUAAUAUGAAUAAUUUAUUAUUAAACUGCUGCAAUAUCUUAUAAUCAACCAGUCGUAAAUAUUCCGCAAACGCAAUAAUUUUUAAAUGUUGUACCAGUCAUACAAAACGCUUAAUAACGCUUGAAACUGCAACCAUCCGCAUCUGCAUCCGCAAACUCUCGUAACCGCAACCGCUGCGUUUAAACCAGUGGGACCUUUAAUCAGUCUGUCACUACUACCGCGUACCACGUAGACCAAUAUCACUGUACAAAGACUGGUAAAGGAUCAGGACCAAAUGAUACGAUGGUUUAUUUUUUUGAUUACUAUGCGAGGAAUCAGUGAAUAUGAAAGAUUGAGUUAUAUAUUGUGAUUGUGGCUGUGAUACAAAUCAAAGAACAACACGUUCACUUGUCGAUUACUAUAAGAUAAAAAUUAAAUGUUGGUUGUUUCAUGUCAUUUUCUGACUUUGGUUUUGCCCCUCUCGAAUCCGCUUUUACCAAUUCAAUGUGAAAAUCUAUAUCUAUACCAUACAAAAAGAAAAAUGCUUUCAAAGGAAAGGCUGUCUAGGUCAGCUCAGAAAAUCGUUCAAUAGGAUCUUUUCUUUCUGACACGUCACUUUGCUCGCAUCUAAAUUUUUGGUUGUUUAAAGCACGUUUAUUGCUGUCCCUUAAGAAGGGUUGUUAACAUUAAUAGACAUUUAAAUUAAAUCAAAAAUGUGAUUAAAGCAAGGACUUAAUUAAGAGCUUGAAGGCUUUGCCUUUUCCUUCCUGCCAGGUGUCGCGUUGUUAUUGGAGAGAGGAAAAAACACGACCUCGGUUUCUUUUUGUCUUUUCUUCUUUCUCUCUUUCGUUCUCUUCUCUCUCUCGGCGAAAGGCGAUUCGAUUCAUCUUCUCUCCCUCUCCGUGGCUCUCAUCGACGGAACGGCGACGGCUCUAUUGGUGUGUCUCGGCGACGAAGGAAAACUGCUACCUUUCUAUCGGUGGCUCUUCUGGACCUUGGAAAACAGCGAGAAACGGUGACAUCUGUCUCUAUCAGUGGCUCCCUGAGACGAUCUAUACCGGCGACAGUUGCGGCUGAGACGAAUCGAAAGUGGAAUCGAUCAAGAGGCAUGAUGCUGAUUGUCUGAUCAAGAGGCUGUCCGAAAGAGAUUGUGUCUGUGUGGGUUAAGGUAUAUUUUGAGAAUCUCGGAGCCCAGCUACUAUAUUCAGGUUCAUUGAUCGUUUCAUCAAGGAUGUUAUUCUUGGCAAAAGGAAGCUCAAGAAAUUUCAACCUUUGAUGCAGCUUUGGAUAUGCUAUGAGUGACUUUUUGGAGUUCAUUGGAUGUUAGUUUAGUCUUGUUUAUUUUUUUGUCAAGGCUGACUUAACUUUUCUUUAAAACUUUUGUAUCAUUACAAACUCUUCUCAUAUCGUAUAUGAAAUUUCACAUUUUGGCAAAAAAAAAAAAACUCCUCGCCCUCCCCUCUCCAUUAUUGACG